rnacentral:rRNA from 1 species
AAUGAACGCUGGCGGCGUGCAUAACACAUGCAAGUCGAACGAGAAAGCCCGGCUUGCCGGGUGAGUAAAGUGGCGAACGGGUGAGUAGCGCGUGGGUAACCUGCCCCUGAAUCUGGAAUAACCCGCCGAAAGGCGGACUAAUACCGGAUGCCAUCCUGGAGUCGCAUGGCACUGGGAUGAAAGAUGACCUCUUCACGAAAGUUGUCGUUCAGGGAGGGGCUCGCGUACCAUUAGCUAGUUGGUAGGGUAAUGGCCUACCAAGGCGACGAUGGUUAGCUGGUCUGAGAGGAUGAUCAGCCACACUGGAACUGAAACACGGUCCAGACUCCUACGGGAGGCAGCAGUGAGGAAUUUUGCGCAAUAGGGGAAACCCUGACGCAGCAACGCCGCGUGAGUGAAGAAGGCCUUCGGGUCGUAAAGCUCUGUCAAGCGGGACAAAGUCCUGCGGGUGAACAGCCCGCCGGAGUGAUGGUACUGCUAGAGGAAGCACCGGCUAACUCCGUGCCAGCCGCCGCAGUAA